UACGUAGGGUGCGAGCGUUAAUCGGAAUUACUGGGCGUAAAGUGUGCGCAGGCGGCAGAGCAAGUCGAGUGUGAAAGCCCCGGGCUUAACUUGGGAAUUGCGCUCGAAACUACUUUGCUGGGAGUGUGGCAGAGGAAGGUGGAAUUCCUGGUGUAGCGGUGAAAUGCGCAGAUAUCAGGAGGAACACCGGUGGCGAAGGCGGGUCUCUGGGCCGAUACUGACGCUGGAGGAGCGAAAGCGUGGGGAGCGAACAGG
rnacentral:rRNA from 1 species